rnacentral:lncRNA from 1 species
UUUUUAAGAAGGUUUCGAAGAAAGCCUUAGGAAAACUAAAGUUUCAGAAAAUGAAGGAAGUUAAGUUGAAACGCAAUUGCUCCAAUCAAGUUUUGCAAAGGCAAUAUCUAUAGACGAAAAUAUGGCAAUAUCUUCAGGAUUCCAAUAUCUUCUCGAAUCCACAUAUUAUCUUUUUUCUUUCUCAGAGUCCAAAACUUCACGUGGCCUCUAAUAAUGCCUGUCGGCACUUUCGGC